CAGCAGCCGCGGUAAUACGUAGGUGGCAAGCGUUGUCCGGAAUUAUUGGGCGUAAAGGGCUCGCAGGCGGUUUCUUAAGUCUGAUGUGAAAGCCCCCGGCUCAACCGGGGAGGGUCAUUGGAAACUGGGAAACUUGAGUACAGAAGAGGAGAGUGGAAUUCCACGUGUAGCGGUGAAAUGCGUAGAGAUGUGGAGGAACACCAGUGGCGAAGGCGACUCUCUGGUCUGUAACUGACGCUGAGGAGCGAAAGCGUGGGGAGCGAACAGGAUUAGAUACCCCUGUAGUCCCUGUCUCUUAUAC
rnacentral:rRNA from 1 species